rnacentral:rRNA from 1 species
AACGAACGCUGGCGGCAGGCCUAACACAUGCAAGUCGAGCGAGCAUUUCGGUGCUAGCGGCGGACGGGUGAGUAACGCGUGGGAACGUGCCCUUUUCUGCGGAAUAGUCCUGGGAAACUGGGGGUAAUACCGCAUACGCCCUCUUGGGGAAAGAUUUAUCGGAGAAGGAUCGGCCCGCGUUGGAUUAGGUAGUUGGUGGGGUAAUGGCCCACCAAGCCGACGAUCCAUAGCUGGUUUGAGAGGAUGAUCGGCCACACUGGGACUGAGACACGGCCCAGACUCCUACGGGAGGCAGCAGUGGGGAAUCUUAGACAAUGGGGGCAACCCUGAUCUAGCCAUGCCGCGUGAGUGAUGAAGGCCUUAGGGUUGUAAAGCUCUUUCAGCUGGGAAGAUAAUGACGGUACCAGCAGAAGAAGCCCCGGCUAACUCCGUG